UCUACUCCAGGCAGGAGCGCAUCUAUUACAUUGUGCUGGAACAGCUGAUUGGGCAGUUGCAUACAACAAGGGAGAGCUGCGAGGUGUGCUCACCAAGGUUCUGAUCCUACUGCCAGUGAAGUUAAUGGAACCUUCUCCACCAACUUCAACAGCAGCAGAAUUAGUCCAGGGGUUGUGAAAAUCUGUCAUCUAACAAGGAGUCUCAGCUCCAUUCUUGCCACCACUAGAAGGAGCAAUUAGUAUCCAGAAUGUGCUAUACAUCAUCCGCACAAGUCCCUGCCCUAAACAGCUUACAGUCCAAGAAUAGUUUACACAGAUGAUGUGGAAAUGGAUUGCGCAAACCAGCAGAAUUACUGAUGACUUCUUCUGAGAUGCUCAGGCCCACCUGUAUAAAUGGUAGCAACAGCACAAAUGGAAGGGACUCUUCAUGCAAUCUGCAGUGGUUCUCAACGAGGGGUCUGAGGGCUCCUGGGGAGCCAUGACCAAGCAUAGCCGGCAUUAGACUCACUGAGGCCCAGAGCAGAAAGCCAAAGCCCCACCACACCAGACUGCAGUCCAGGGCCCCGAGCCCCAUCACCCAGGGCUCAAGCCAAAGCCUGAGUAACUUAGCUUUGCAGUGCACCCUGUGGUGUGUGGCCACAGGACAACUGCCCUGCUUGCUACCCUUUGAGGCUGGCCUUGGCUUUUAUAUGCAGAAAACCAGUUGUUGUGGUGCAGGUGGGCUGUGGAGUUUUUAUAGCAUGUUGCAGGGGCCUCUGAAAUAAAAAGGUUGAGAACCCCUGAAUAAAAGAUAAAGAUGUACUGCAGGUCCACUUCAGCAUAACACAACAACAUUUUCAAAUAAAGAUUUGUAGCACACACAAAGAGGCUGUAAUCCCCAAUGAUACAAUAUAGUUUUGUUGGCUGAAGUACAGCUAUAAGAAACAGAAAGCUUACUGGUCUGCAUAUACUACAGUGGCCAAGAAAGUGCUGAUAAAGCAUCCACACUUUAGUGGUAUUACAAGCUGGGGGGAAAAAAAGACACUAGAUAAACUUAAUGUCUACAGUUCUUCAAAAAAAUGUUCACCAAUAUGCAAUGUAAGGGAGCUUCAUACAUGUCAUCCAGAAACAAGAGUUAUUAUUCAGCAGGUGGAAUAUACAAGGUCAAGGAAAUUAUGAAAUUAAACAGUACAUGAACUUUGUAGAAAUCAUUCUCUUAGUGGGAAAAUCAAUUUAUAUUUUUAUGGACAUAAAAUGGGACAUAUUAAUGGAGUUACACCAGGGUGGAAUUUGCUCCAUAAAGUAGCAUGAUACAAAGGCAACUAGAGAGGCAUUUAAAUUAUGAUUGAAACAUUUAGCACUAGUUUUCUACAUGAUUCUACACCAGUAACAUGUCACCACCAGCAAAAUGAACACAUUUAUUGAAAGCAUAUAUUAAACAUAUACACUCAAAAGGUCAUCCUCAUUAAUGAUUCCUAACAUGACACUGCUUUGCUUUUGUGCAAGUGACUCCUCCAUUUUCCAUGUCACUAUUAUACUCUCAGCAUUGCUGUGCCUUUCUCUGCAUUAUCAAUCAUUUCUACUAUGGUUGGAGUUUUUGGAAUCUUGUGGUCGUUGUUUCACUCCUUUGUGCAGCCAUUCUUUCUGAAGUUUGACAAUGGACAAUAUCGCUAGACCUCUCCAGUGUCAGUUCACUCAAGGUUCCAUCCUAACAAAACUUUCAAUGCUGCUCAAGUAUGUUAAAGGUUUUUUUUUUUUAAAUGGUGGCAAUUUAAUAUUAUUGAAGUUAAUUGGUUUAUAAAAUAAUGUCACUAAAGGAGAUAGUGUUAUGUUGCUUUCCAGGAAACAUGAUGAUAAACAUAUCAUUUAGCCAUGGAUGGCCUGUUCAUUUUAAGGUAUCCCUAGUUUCCAAAAACAGCUAGUUCCCUGCUAUAAUAAACUGUUAACUUAGAUAACAGUUUAUAAAAUCAUCUAACAGUAAUGCUAAUACAAUAUCUUAGAAAUAAUAACCACAUCAUUGAUUUAGAUGAGUUCUGCAUUUUCCUGACAUUUGUAGAAGAAAUUAUACAAAGAGACAGACACUUAGAGAUUCCAGUGCUUAUAUAAGGGCUUGAAGAAUUAUAACAUUCAAAAACCAGUAGGAGAACACUUCAAUCUCUCUGGACACUCAACAACAGACUUAAAAGUGGCAAUUCUUCAACAAAAAAAUCUUCAGAAACAGACUCCAAUGAGAAACUGGAGAACUGGAAAUAAUUUGCAAACUGGACACUGUCAAAUUAGGCCUGAAUAAAGACUGGGAGUGGAUUGGUCACUAUAAAACUAAUCCCCCCAUGCUGAUACUCACACCUUCUUGUCAACUGUUUGAAAUGGGCCACCUUGAUUACAUUGAACUCAUUAGCACUACAAAAGUGAUUUCCCUUGAUAUUCACCCCUUCUUGCCAACUGUUGAGACUAGCCCACUUCCACCUUAAUAUAUCGUUAGCACUGACCCACCACUUGGUAAGGCAACUCUCAUCUUUUCAUGCGCUGUGUUUUUAUACCUGCCUCUGUAUUUUCCACUCCAUGCAUCUGAUGAAGUGAGUUUUAGCCCACGAAAGCCUAUGCCCAAAUAAAUUUGUUAGUUUCUAAGGUUCCUCAUUGUUAGUACAGGAAGUGAGACUAUGCUUUUCAGUGGAUAUUAUAGGCAUAGCCUGGACAGUACAGCCUUAGAAAAAAUUAAAUUUGUAUUUAAGAAUGCAUAAAUUAUUCUAUGACAAGGAUCUUCAUGUAGAAAAAAUGUAUGUAUAACAUAUACCCAGUAGAAAGAAUUUUAGAUCAGAUUUCUUGCCAAUUAUUAUCACACAAAAGCCAGGAAUGGAAAUUGCUGAACAGAUCAAUCUAGUUCAAGUAACUGCAAGAUCUCUGAAUCCACCAUGCUAAAACUCCAAUUCUGCAAACACUAAGGCAUGUGCCUUACUUCCAUGAAUAGCCCCAUGGCAAUCAGUGGAAUCACUCACAGUGGUAAAAUUAAGCAUGUGUAAGUAUAAGCAAGAGUGGGGUUUAACACGCUGUUCUAUCUACCAAUUCUGUAGGCUUUUACUAUAGCAAAAAUGUUCCAGGCAACUUUACCUUCCCCACUUGUUGACAUUUUGCAUCCAUUUUACGUGCAUUUAACAAUACACUAUUACUUUUAGGAUUCUGAACCACAUCAAGACAACAAGGAAGUUCAACUAAUUUAACUUGGAAGUGGCCUGUUGUGCCUUUUUUUAAUCGAGAGAGAAAUCUCUUGGAUUUAUGGCAACGUGCGUAUACAUAGAUUUAAAAAAUUUCCAAAACAAGACUUAACUGCAUGCACUCAGAGGAGACGAUGAGAGAACAAACGCAUCACAAUCUCCGUCACGUGGCUUAAUGCGCUACGGGAAGGCUACGCUGGUGGGCGUGGUAUAAGCACCACACAGAGCAGAAUACCAGCUGUUCAAUUACAAACAAGGUCUUUGCACACACCCCUCUAAAAAGAGCAGACAGGUCCCACCACACUGCACGUUGGUGUAUAAAGGGAGUGGAUCAAGGCACUUUGGGAGAAUAAAUUUGUUUCCUUUCCUGCUCUAAGUCAGAGAGAAGGGCGGAGGGUGGGGUGGGGGUCCAGCGGACUUGGGGGGGGGGUGUUGAUG